GGGACUGAAAGGUUUCUACAUAUAGUUUUGUGUAUAUAAGUGAUUGAGAGUGAAGGUAAGCUAUACUUCAUUAAUCCUAGCUUUAAUAAUAUAAAUGCAAAACAUCAAAUUAUACCUUUUUCUAAAAAUAUAAUUUUAGCAUAGCUUUUUAAAUAUUUUUUAGAAUAUCAGCUUUUAUUAUCUGUCAUAUAUGCUGAUUUGUUAUCGAUUAGAUGCUCUUAGAUUAAAAAUUUUUAAGGAAAGUUUAAAAAAUAUAAGAUUUUUUAUGUUUUUCUCUUGGCUUUAUUUUGUCAGCCAGCUUAGUACACAGAAUUAGUAUGGACGUGGGUUCGAAUCCCACCAGUUCCA
rnacentral:tmRNA from 1 species